AGACCCGGAGAGAAGGUGAAGGAGCUGGAAACCGAGCCAGGGCUGAGCCGGCUGACAACAGGCAUCGAUCCAAGGUUUCCAGUAACCAACAUACACCAUCUCAUCCGGAACAGCGGGGUUCGGCUUCUCCUAUGGCAGGAUCUGGGGCGAAAAGAUCAAGAGAUGGUGAACUGGAGACCAGUCUAAACAUCCAAGGUUGUACCACAGAGGGAGACCUGCUGUUUGCCCAGAAGUGUAAAGAACUCCAAGGAUUUAUACCUCCUCUCACAGAUCUACUCAAUGGGCUGAAGAUGGGUCGUUUUGAGAGAGG